CUGACCUUCAGCUGGGGCCUAGUGAUCCGCAGAGAUUAGCAUCUCCUGCCACCCCCUGGGAGCAAACACCCGUGUGCCCUCCCAGGGCCGGGCCUCACCGCAGGGCCCUGCAGGAAGCAGGAUGUGGACCAGAGCCGUGCCCGGUGGCUCCCUCAGGCGGACCUGCCACGUGUGAGUUGGGAGAGGGGUCUUUGCAGCAUGCUACAGAGCAGGGGGAGUGGAAGUUCCUGGAGUCUAGAAGCUUCUCCACCAUGACCUCCAUCAUCACAUUCCAGAACCCAGAACCAAAGGCCACCUCCUGAGUCCACUGGCCCCAUCCGAAGGCCUUCAGGGGCAGGUCUACCUGGUAAUGCCUUGAUGCCUCAGGGACAAACCGGCGCCAUCAAACAAAGCAGUCGGUUUGCACCGAGCGGCACAGGCUACAGGAGCUCCCUCCAUGAAGGGCCUGGCUGGACACGAAGGCUACUAGCCCCCACAACUCGAACUACACAUGGCACAGACGACUCACCCUUAGAGCACGUCACCUUGGAAGAAGCCUUCUCGCUCAUCCAAGGCGGGCCCCGGCUUUUCCGGCCGUGAAGGAGGCAGCACUGUUCCAAUACUCCUGAGAGUCAAGUGCCUCAAAGACUGCUCCACUCUUCUUGACGUGUCUACACUCGAGGUGUCCUGCGAAAAUCUUAGCCGAUGGAGCUCUGGGCUCUUGCCUGGCCAGAGUAGUGCUGAGCUCUUGAACAGCCAGAGCAGACACCAAACUAACAGCAUCUGUUCAACUGUGUCUGAUGCGGCGUGGCAAUACUGGGCUCCACUUCGCUCCUGUGCCUGCUUCCCUCUCUGACCCAAUCUCCCCGAGGGCGUCUAGCUCACCCU